CAGGGUAGUUGAGUCAGGGGAACAAGGAAGUCUGAAGAUGGCAUGAACAGACUUGGUCUUUGGGGAUUGACUGGUGUCUUCAGCUGAUUUCUGAGAAGAGCUGCAAAUUCCUCCAACUUACAUUAGUUUGCUCGGGGCUGCUGUAACAAAAUGCCACAGACUGGGUGCCUUAAACAACAGAAAUUUCUUUCUCACAGUCCUGGAACCUGGAAAUUCCAAGAUCAAGGUGCUGACAGAUUUGGUUUCUGGUAAGAGUUCUCUUCCUGGCUUGUUGACAGCUGCAUUCUCUCGGUGUCCACAUAGUGGUGAAAGAGAAAAGGAUUUCUGGUGUCUCUUCUUAUUAGAAUACUAGGCCUUCUCUCCAAAAACAAGCAUGUUGGAGGAUAGGGCUCCAACAUAUGAAUUUUGGGGGAACGUAAUUCGGUCUAGAGCAAAUGCUAUUGUAAAUGAAAUUGCUACUUAAUUUCCUUUUCCAGUUAUUCAUUGUUGGUGUAUCAAAAAGCAACUGAUUUUUGAGUAUUGAUUUGUACUUUGAAAACUUGCCAGAUUUGUUUUUAGUGCUAACAGGUGUGUGUGUGUGUGUGUGCGUGUGCGUGUGUGUGCGCGCGCUCGCGUGCGUGCAUGCAUGUUUUAUGUAGGUUUCUGUAUAUAGGAUCAUGUCAUCUGUUAACUGAGAUAGUUUUACUAAUUCCUUUCAAUUUGGUUGCCUUUUAUUGCCUUUCCUUGCCUAAUUGCUCUGGCUAGAGUCAUUCCUUCAUUUUAAGGAACUGGUUCACGCAGUUGUAGAGGCUGACAAGUGUGAAAUCCGUAGGGCAGGCUGGUAGGAUGAAAACAUCCUAGCUUCUCUUCCAGUUCCCUUGUCCUGUUCCUCCCUCCCUCAAUUGAUAACCAUUAUAGUUUAGCUUUUUUUUUCUUUAUUCUGCCAUUUUAACAUAGUAUACAGUAUAAUAUGGAUAUAGAUAAAUAUUUGUGUCUCCUAUUACUAAUACUAAUGGAAACUAAUAAAUAAAGAGAUGGAAUUAAGCAUUUAUCCUGUUUUUGUAAUUCACAGUGCCUCAAGGGAUUCAAUUAAUAAAUGAGUGGAAAUUUCUUUUUAAAGAAGAAUAAAAGCUAAUAAAUG